CCUACGGGUGGCAGCAGUCGAGAAUCAUUCACAAUGGGGGAAACCCUGAUGGUGCGACGCCGCGUGGGGGAAUGAAGGUCUUCGGAUUGUAAACCCCUGUCAUGUGGGAGCAAAUUAAAAAGAUAGUACCACAAGAGGAAGAGACGGCUAACUCUGUGCCAGCAGUCUCGGUAAUACGGAGGUCUCAAGCGUUGUCCGGAAUCACUGGGCGUAAAGCGUGCGUAGGCUGUUUCGUAAGUCGCGUGUGAAAGGCGCGGGCUCAACCCGCGAACGGCACAUGAUACUGGGAGACUAGAGUAAUGGAGGGGGAACCAGAAUUCUCGGUGUAGCAGUGAAAUGCGUAGAGAUCGGGAGGAACACUCGUGGCGAAGGCGGGUCCCUGGACAUUAACUGACGCGGAGGUACGAAGGCCAGGGGAGCGAAAGGGAUUAGAUACCCCUGUAGUC
rnacentral:rRNA from 1 species